rnacentral:rRNA from 1 species
AACGAACGCUGGCGGCAUGCCUAACACAUGCAAGUCGAACGAUUGCCUUCGGGUGAUAGUGGCGCACGGGUGCGUAACGCGUGGGAAUUUGCCCUUAGGUUCGGAAUAACAGCUGGAAACGGCUGCUAAUACCGGAUGAUAUCGCGAGAUCAAAGAUUUAUCGCCUGAGGAUGAGCCCGCGUUGGAUUAGGUAGUUGGUGGGGUAAAGGCCUACCAAGCCGACGAUCCAUAGCUGGUCUGAGAGGAUGAUCAGCCACACUGGGACUGAGACACGGCCCAGACUCCUACGGGAGGCAGCAGUGGGGAAUAUUGGACAAUGGGCGCAAGCCUGAUCCAGCAAUGCCGCGUGAGUGAUGAAGGCCCUAGGGUUGUAAAGCUCUUUUACCCGGGAAGAUAAUGACUGUACCGGGAGAAUAAGCCCCGGCUAACUCCGUG